rfam:Lachancea lanzarotensis strain CBS 12615 genome assembly, scaffold: LALA0S04
CUCUCGGUGGCCAAGUUGGUUUAAGGCGCCAGACUGUAAUGUUACUCACUGUAAUCUGGAUAUCGGGCGUUCGAAUCGCCCCCGGGAGA